rnacentral:rRNA from 1 species
UAAGGAAUAUUGGUCAAUGGACGAAAGUCUGAACCAGCCAUGCCGCGUGGAGGAUGAAGGUCCUCUGGAUUGUAAACUUCUUUUAUCUGGGACGAAAAAAGGCUUUUCUAAGUCGUCUGACGGUACCAGAUGAAUAAGCACCGGCUAACUCCGUGCCAGCAGCCGCGGUAAUACGGAGGGUGCAAGCGUUAUCCGGAUUCACUGGGUUUAAAGGUGCGUAGGUGGGUUGGUAAGUCAGUGGUGAAAUCCCCAAGCUUAACUUGGGAACUGCCAUUGAUACUAUCAGUCUUGAAUACCGUGGAGGUCAGCGGAAUAUGUCAUGUAGCGGUGAAAUGCUUAGAUAUGACAUAGAACACCAAUUGCGAAGGCAGCUGGCUACACGAAUAUUGACACUGAGGCACGAAAGCGUGGGGAUCAAACAGGAUUAGAUACCCUGGUAGUCCACGCCCUAAACUAUGGAUACUCGACAUUUGCGAUACACUGCAAG